GGCCGCAGUAUAUUAACUGUGCAAAGGUAGCAUAAUCAUUAGUCUUUUAAUUGAAGGCUGGUAUGAAUGGUUGGACAAAAUAUUAACUGUUUCAAAUAAAUUUUUAAUAGAAUUUUAUUUUUUAGUCAAAAAGCUAAAAUUGAUUUAAAAGACGAGAAGACCCUAUAAAUCUUUAUAUUUAUUUUUAUAACAAUUUUUUGGAAAGGUUUAAUAUUUAUAAUUAAUAGUAUUUUAUUGGGGUGAUAUUAAAAUUUAUUAAACUUUUAAUUGAUUUUAUCAUUAAUUUAUGUAUUAUUGAUCCAUUAUUAACGAUUAAAAAAAUAAGUUACUUUAGGGAUAACAGCGUAAUUUUUUUGGAGAGUUCACAUUAAUAAAAAAGAUUGCGACCUCGAUGUUGGAUU
rnacentral:rRNA from 1 species